GACUCUCGACAACGGAUAUCUCGGCUCUCGCAUCGAUGAAGAACGUAGCGAAAUGUGAUACUUGGUGUGAAUUGCAGAAUCCUGUGAACCAUCGAGUCUUUGAACGCAAAUUGCGCCUGAAGCCAUUAGGCUGAGGGCAUGCACGUCUGCCUGGGCGUCA